GGAUGUGAGGAUUAUCUGUCUGCGCCAUCUGUCACCCCAUUGAUACCACAGUUAAUUCAGCUGAUCUGGCUAGCUAGGCAGGUGUUCCCUUCCUCCAUUCCACUCCAUUUUUAUUUUUCCAUGAACUGUGUGCUCAUGGAAGAGACAACUAAUUUAGGGAGGAGUGUAUCAAUCUUUAGGCAAGGGUAUGAUAUCUGUGCUCACCUUCUAGAACCUACAAACAAACCUUUUCCUCCAUCCAUUUGCCUAUUCCUUUCCCAGUCUUGAGAUAUAAUAAUGCAUCUCAAUGGCUUUGUUUGAUCAGCCGUGCUUG
rnacentral:snRNA from 1 species